GGUGGUUCUUUGGUCUCUUGGGGUUGUGGUCAGGUGGCUGGGACUAGACGCAUCUAGAAGUUCUUGGACCUGGACCUGGGUGCCAAGGACACGGGGUCUCUGUUCCAGUGUUACAGCCUCUCACUCCCCAUGGCCUCUUUGGGGUCACUCGGAUAUUGCAAAGGGGGGAGAUUUGCUGCCUGUCAUAGAUAAGGCUAGAGGUAUGUCCUACUAGAUUCCUAAGCCUUCUGUGAAUAGCACAUAUCAAUUUAAGGUAUGGCUGCCAUUGAAUUAUAAAGAGAUGUUAUCAUCCAGAUGUGAUGCUGGGAACAUUCUGAGAAUUGAUCUGACAACGUCACGUUUACAGCACAUAUAACAGCCAGCUUCCUGAGACCUUUUCUGGAAGCAUCUUUGCAAAGGGGAUAACCUUCAAACUCACUUGGUGGAAGGGCCACUGCGCAUGCCCUGUGGUUAGUCCGGCUGUGUGCGGUCCGCCUGCCUCCCUGCGGGUCUGGGAGGUGGACCUGCCCCCCCAUCCCUGCACCCUGCUUCUCUCGGGGCUUGUCCUGGGGCCAGGAUGCUUGCCCUAAGUAGUUAUCAGGAUGCUUUUCCCUUCCCACAAUAGCUGUUGUGUGCAAGUAACUUUGUUGGAAGGUUGAAUAAAUCCUCCACCUCGAGAUGCCUGUGGGAUUCCGAGUUGCAGUUCUGUCCCUUACGGGGGGAAAAUGACAGUGAAGGCGGACGUUUGUCGUCCCAGCUCUGAGAUGGAAACAGCGCGGGACCUUCAGCCCCCUCCCCGCGCAGCCUGCCUUCCUCACCUGAUGGGGGAGCCGCACUGCACAGGAGGCCCCGCUGUGGGAUGUUUCCUCUGCCGCAGUGAUGUAGCGCCUGCAUUCCGGACAGUUCUGAGGUCUGCUCUGCACUCCGCGUUUCAGGCACUGUUACUACGUGCUGAUAAAUCAUGCUAAUAUCAUCCUUUAUGAAGCAUUUUUAGCCAGUGGCUUGCAUCAAUAAAGGCACGGAGCCUGCCCUGUGCCGCAAGCCAUGGGAGGUGGUUCAGUUCCUCAGCUAUUAGGGGCAAGCCCUGGCCUGAGCUCUGGAUGCAGGUGCAAGUCCUGUAAGACCGGGGCGGAACAAGAGGUUGUCGAGCCGCGAUGUCUGGCUCGGGACAGCGAAUGCUUUUUGUUGGACGUUGAAAACAAGAGGGACUCUGAAGACCUCAGCUGCCAGGAGGUGGGGAGGGGACUCCGUAUGUGCUUUAUGCAGGUUCAGAGACCGGAAGGCAUGGCAGUCCUUAGGUUUCCUUCUCAGUUGUCCUGCCAGGUGUCCCACAGGAUGUCCACAUUUCCAGCAUCAUCCCACGUGGACAUGGGAUGUACUAGACUCUGGGGGAGCUGGACCACGGUGGCCAGAGGCUAGCAGGUAUCUGAGGGAGGAAAGAGGUGGAGAAAGAGGGGGACCAGAACGAAGCAACGAAACAGGACACCUGGUGGCUGCUGGGACCUUACUCCUUGCUGGCCACUGCCAGUCUGCACGGCCCCUCCCACGCUGGGAUCACCGUGGCUCUUGUAUUUGGAACUACUGCUUCAUUAACCAGUGCAGAAACUGUAGCUUUCCUAUUUUGCAAAAAAGCUUUCCAUUAAAAAAAAAAAAAGAUUUUAUUUAUUUACUGGAGAGAGAGAGAGAGCACGUGCAUGCACAUGAGUGAGGGGAUGGGCAGAGGGAGAGGGAGAAGCAGACUCUGCUGAGCAGCGAGCCCUAUGUGGGGCUCGAUUCCAAGCCCCUGAGAUCACGACCUGAGCUUGACCAGAUGCUCAUUGACCAGAUGCUUAAAUGACUAAGCCACCCAGGUGCCCUGCAAAGAAGCCUUCCUAAGGAAAUACGUAGUGAUGGGGCUUUUGGUGCCCCAUUACCUGUGCAGAGAUUGUGUGUGGAAGAGCUUAGUUCUCCAAAGCACCUGAUUAUUACCAUC